CUGAAAGUUUUGGUGUUCAUUCUCUAAGGGGAUUUUGAGAUAAAAGGAGAUUGUUGGGCGUUGAAUAAACCCUGCGAGUAUGGGAUCACCCUAUGUGGAACAGCAAGAACUUCUUAGUAAGGGUCCCAGGAAAGAAUGAGACCAAUGAGCAAUAAAGAUUAC
rnacentral:lncRNA from 11 species